AGGAGGGGGCGGGCUUUCCCAUCGCAGAGGCCUUCAUCUCCGGAGCUGUCCGGUCUGGGAUCGAUAGUGAUAGUCUGGCACCCGCUCCUUUGCUCUAGAACCCCUGGGGGCUGUAAUGCAGCCCUUUUGCUCCGUGACCUGCAGAAGCUGGGAGAUCCCUAGAGAGACACUCCAGAAGCCAAGACAUGGGUUGGGGGAGACAGCAGGAGUGAAUCAAACAGGAUUCACAGGCUGAUGAUCUUGCACGUCCAGGUGUGUUGUGUUGACUCACCUGCACAUCCAAUGGAAAGAAUAUCGAAGUAAAGGAAAGAACAUGCUGCAAGCAUCCCAUCCACAAAAGUUGUACUAGGAAUCAAGCCCUCAAGAAAGCUGAUCACAAAGAAGAAACUCACACAAAAGUGGGUAAUGCACAAAUAUCAAUAUAAAAAGAAGAAGGUGAUAAAAUAAGGCAACAUGACUCUUCCACAGGUGACUAAUUCAUAAGUAACAAUACAAAGAUAUCCAAAUGGAUAAAAAGGUGGACAAAAAUCAAAGAAUUAUUUUUAAAUGACCAAUAACUUUAAGGAGGGUUUAAAUAAACAGUUGAAUGAAUUAGGGAAGCUUAUGCAGGAGAUGGAGACACAAUUCAAUAAAAAGAUAGAGGUUCUAAAGAAGAGGAAAACAAAAAUCUUGGAAAUGAAAAGCUCACAAUCAAAUAAAAAACUAAAUGAGAUGCAAGCAAAGGACAGAAUUUCAGGGCUUAAGGAUAAAAGUGAUGAAUUAUCACAUCCAGAUACUAGUAAAGAAAAAAUAACAAGUUAUUAACAAAGCACCCAAAACCCUGGGACGUGGUUAAAAGACUGAAAUGAGGAAGGUGUUGAAGUUCACACUAAGUUCGUUGAACAGAAAAUCUAUUUCAAUGAAAUACUACAAAGUUCCCAAAUGUUGGAAAAGAUACUGACAUCCAUAUGUAGUAGGCAUUUAGAACCACAAAGAAGCAUGGCCAUAAAAUAAUUUCCACAAGUCACAUUAUUGUUAAAAUGCCAAGCAUAUAGAGCAGGUUAAGAAUAUUGAAAGGUGAAAGAGAGAAACUUAAAGUCACAUAUAGGGGCAGACCCAUUAGAAUAAUUGAAGACUUAUCUCCAGAAAGUAUAAAGGUCAGAAGAUCAUGAAAUGAUGUACUUCAAGCCUUGAAAGAAAGUAUCUACUAACAUAGAUUAUUAAAUUCAGCAGAUUUAUCUUUCAAGUUGAAGGAAAAAUAAAGAAUUUCCAUGAGAAUCAUAAACAAAAGAAAUUAAUGACCACUAAAACAUCAUUGCAGUAUAAACUUAAAGGAAUCCUACAUACUAAAGUGGAAAAGACAUCAGCUAUUGAGAAGAACGUCAAGCACUACAAUAAUAUAAUGAAAUAACUACUGCAUAUCUUUCAAUAAUAACUCUGAAUCUAAAUGGCCUUAUUUCUCCUAAAAGAAGUGGACUUGCAGCCUGGAUUAAAAGCAAGACUCAACUCUUUUUUGCCUUCAAGAAACACACCUCACUAAGAAAGAUAUGUAAAGUAAAAUCAAAAGGAAAGAAAACAAAGUUUUAUGAAAAUGGAAUCUGAAAAUAAGAGGAGUAGUUUUACUCAUAUAAAACAAAGGAGAAUUUAAGACAAAAUUAUUUAGAAGAGAAAAAGAAGGCCACAAUAUAUUGGUAAAAAAAUAAUCCACCGAGAAAAAUAGAAAACAUAUACACAUUGCAUAUUGGUGCAUCCAACUUAGUAAAUCAAAAUAUUUGAUGGAAAGGGACACAGCACCCAAUACAAUAAUAGUGGGUGACUAUAAAACUCAACUCUUGACAAGACAGGUCAACCAGACAAAAAACUAGCAAAGAAUCAUGAAUUGAACUGCACCUUAGACUGAACAGGAAUAUAAGGAAUAUUUCAUCCAACAACUAGAGAAAACACAAUUUUUAUAGGCACAUGAGUUGUUCCCCAAAAGACACCAUAUUUUAGUGUAUAGAGAAACUGUUAACAAAUCUAAAAUGUUUUAAAAAUUCUUAUAUCUUAUCCUAUCAUGAUAGAAUGAAACUGGAAAUUAACAGCAAGAGAAGCUACAGGAAUUGCACAAACACAUGGAGAUUGAAGGGUCUCUAUUUUUGAACAAUCAGUUGGUCAUUGAAGAAAUCAAUGGAGAAGUUUAAAAAUGCCUAGAAUCAAAUGACAAUGCAACCAAAUAACAAAUACAACCAGCAAUAACAAAAUAACAGUACAACCAACAAGAAUCUCUAGGCUAUAAAGGGAAUAAAAGGGAAAUUUCUACCUUUGAAUGGCUACAUCAAAUAAUCAGAAAGAUCUGAAAUAACUUAAUGAUGCAUCCCAAGGUCUUGGAAAGAAAGAACUAUCCAAAAUCAACCCCAACAAAAGGAAAAAAUUAGUAAAGUCAGGGAUAAAGUUGAUAUAAUGAAUACAAAAUGAACAGUACAAAGGAUAAAUGAGACAAAGUUACUUCUUUAAAAAGAUAAACAAUAUUCAAAAUCCUUUAUUUAAACUAACCAAUUAAAAGAAAAGACCAAAUCAAUACAAUCAAAUAAGAACAGGGGGAUUUAAAAAAAAAACACCACUGAAAAUCAGAGAAUCAAUAGGGAUAAUUUUGAAAAUUUAUGGAGAAUCUAGAAGAAUGAGGUAAAUUUCCACACAUAUACAAUCUACCAAAAUUAAAAUAAGAAUAUAUAAAACACUUAAACAGGUCAAUAGCAAGUCAGAAGGUUGAAGAAGUAAUAAAAAGUCUCCAAUAAAGAAUCUUAAGACCAGGCAAAUUCAGUGCUGAAUUUUAUCACACUUUUAAAGAAAUAUUACCACCAAUGCUUCCCAAAUCAUUUUAUAAAAUAUAAAGAGAAGGAAUGCUUCCAAACUCAUUCUAUAAGGCCAAUGUCACCAAGACCAGAAAAAGACACAAGAAAAAACAAUAUUAGUGAUUAAAUGUAGAUGUAAAAAGCCUUAAUAGAUUACUUGUAAACAGAAUUCAGCAAUCCAUUAAAAAGAUCUACUUGGUCUAUUUUCAGAGAUUCAAGAAUAGUUCAACAUAUGCAAAUUAAUAAAUGUUUUGCAUAACAUAAAGAGAAUCAAGGAUAAAAAUCACAUGAUCAUUUUUUUGAGGCAGAAAAAACUUCAACAAAGUUCAAUAUCCCUUCAAUGACAAAAGCCCUGAAAAUCUAGAUCUUGAAGCAGUAUACCUUAAUAUGGUAAAGGUUAUACAAAAAAUGUACAAGCAUCAUACUGUAUGUAUAAAACUGACAGCAUUUUCUCUAAAAUCAGUAAUGAGACACAAAUGUCCACUGUCUCCCCUCUUAUUCAAUGUAUUACUUGAAAUUUUAGUCAUAUCAGUUAGGCAAGAAAAAGAAAUAAAAUGGGCACGAAUAGGAGAGGAAUGAGGCAAAUUAUCUUUAGUUGCUGAUAAUACGAUUCUAUACUUAAAAGAUACUAAAUACUCCAUCAAAAGAAUUUCCAAACUGAUAAAUUCAGGAAAGUAGUAGGAUAUAGAAUCAAUAAUAGAAGAUAGAUUGCUUUUGUGUACACCAAUAAUAAACACAUUGAGAAAAUAAUCAGUAAAUACAAUUCCAUUCACAAAUGCUUCACAAAACACCUACAAAUCAACCUAACUACAAAGAUGAGAGACAUCUGCAAUAAAAAUUUAAGAAUUCAGAAUAAAAGAAUUGAAAAGAACACUGGAUGAUGGAAAGAUCUCCCAUAUCCAUGAAUCAGAAGAAUUAAUAUUAACAUGGCCAUAUCAGAAACAAUGAUCUACAGAAUCAAUGUAGUUCACAUCAGAAUUCUGAUGGCAUCCUUCACAGAACAACAAAAAUCCCAAAAUUCAGUAAAAACACAAAAGACCCAAAAUAGCCAAAUAAAUCAUAAACAAAAAAGAGAAAAGUUGGAGGCAUCACAAUUUCUGAUUUCAAAUUAUACUUCAAAGUCAUACUAACAAAACAUCAUGGUACUUGAACCAAAAAACGACAUGUACAUUAAUGGAAUAGAAUAGAGGAUACAGAAACAAACUCAUGCAACUACAGCCAUCUGAUUCUUGACAUGAGUCAACAUCAUACUCUGCCUCUUUAGCAAAUUCUCCUGGGAAAACUGGACAUUCACAAGGCAAGACUGAAACUAGGUCUGCAUCUAAAUGUAUCAAAGACCUAAGUAGAAGACCUGAAACUUUCAAGUUGCUAAAGAAAAUAUAGGAGAACUUCUUGAAGUCCUAGGCACAGGCAAAAAUGUCCUGAAUAGGACUUCAACAGCACAGAAAAUAUGAUCAAGAAUCAACAAAUGAGACUACAUCAAGUUUAUGGUUCUACACAGCAAAAGAAACAGUCAACAGAGUGAAGAGACAUUUUACAGAAUAGGAGAAAAUCUUGGCCAGCUAUUCUUUUGACAGAUGAUAAAUAUCUACAAUGUAUAAGGAACUAAAGAGUUUAACAUAAAAGGAAGAAAAAGGAAAGGAGAAGGAAAAGGAAGAGGAGGAAGAAAAGAGGGAGGGGAAAUAGCUUGAUAAAUAAAUGAAUUAAAAGUCACUUCUCAGAAGAAGCACAAAUGGACAAUGAGUAUAUAAAAAUUUGUUGAACAUUUUUAGCCAUUAGUCAAAUGCAAAACAAAAAAUUACAUUGGAAUUCCAUCUCACCCAAGUUAGAAUGGUUAUCCUCAAGAGUACAAAAAACAAUAAAUACUGAAAGGAUAUGGAGGGAAAGAGCUCUUCUAAUAUGCUGAUGGGAAUGUAAAUUAGUCAAACCACUAUGGGAAAUCAAUGUGCUCCUAAAAGAAUAUAACUAACAUAUGACUACAUUCUUUGGUACAUAUCUGAAAGUGUUAAAAAGUCAGCAUAUUAUAAAGAUACUUACAUACCCAUAUUUAUUGAAGCACAAUUCACAAUAGCCAAGACAAGGAACCAGCCUAGAUUUCCAUUAAUGGGUGAAUGGAAAAAGAAAGUGUGAUAUGUACACACAAAGGAGUACUGUUCAACUGUGGUGAAGAACAUAUUAUGUUAUUUUCAGGAAAAUGAAUAGAAACAGAGAUAAUCAUAUCAAAUGAAAUAAGCCAGACGCAGAAAUACAAGUGUCGUAUUUUCCCUAACAUAUGAAUCUAAAAUAAAAAUGGCAUGAAAGUAGAAGUGAGAUUAUUAGACAAGGGGAAGGGAAUAAAGCAAAGUUUGGAAGACAUAAGGAAGUUAAUAGAGGAGAUGGAUAUUAUCAAAAUGUGUUAGAUCCGUGAAUGAAAACACCACAUCAAAACCUAAUAUGUGUAAAAUUAAUAGAUACUAAUAAAAUAUAUUUUAAUACUGGAAAAAACUAAUAUCUAGAAUAUAUAAAAAAUUCAAAGAUUAGCCCCCCACCAAAACAACCCAUUCAAACUAUGGACAAGUAAAAUGAAUAGACACUUCUCAAAAGAGGAAAUACGAAUGGCCAAUACUUACAUGGAAAAAUGUUCAGCACCUUUGGCCAUUAAAGAAAUGCAAAUGAAAACAACCCUGAGAUUCUAUCUUACUCAAGUCAGAAUGGCUAUCAUCAAGAACAUAAAAACCAACAAAUAUUGACAAAGAUGUGAGAAAAAAGGAUACUGUUGGUGGGAAUGCAUUCUUAAAAAAAAAAAAAA